rnacentral:tRNA from 2 species
GGGCACGUGGUGUAGUUGGUUAUCACGCUCGCUUAGCAUCUGUAUAUGCGAGAGGGGUCCGGUUCGAUCCCGGACGUGUCCA